AGUGAUCCCUAUUGUUAUGAUACACAACGCAACGAUGCUGACUGAACUUCCUCCUGUCUACGCAUUCAGCACCAUAGGUGCUAUGAUAUCGAUCAAGUUUAUGGAAGCUAUUAUGUUCACAGGUUCAUAUAUCAAUGACCGAAUUGAAAUUCAGAACUGGCAUUCGGAAGACACCAGGAAUAAAUUCAGCAAUGUGGUGAACUGCACUGCUCGAAACGUUGACGCAAUCGCGGAUCGAAGUGUCCUA